rnacentral:rRNA from 1 species
GUGAACGCUGGCGGUAGGCCUAACACAUGCACGUCGAACGGCAGCACAGUAAGAGCUUGCUCUUACGGGUGGCGAGUGGCGGACGGGUGAGGAAUACAUCGGAAUCUACUUUUUCGUGGGGGAUAACGUAGGGAAACUUACGCUAAUACCGCAUACGACCUACGGGUGAAAGCAGGGGAUCUUCGGACCUUGCGCGAUUGAAUGAGCCGAUGUCGGAUUAGCUAGUUGGCGGGGUAAAGGCCCACCAAGGCGACGAUCCGUAGCUGGUCUGAGGGGAUGAUCAGCCACACUGGAACUGAGACACGGUCCAGACUCCUACGGGAGGCAGCAGUGGGGAAUAUUGGACAAUGGGCGCAAGCCUGAUCCAGCCAUACCGCGUGGGUGAAGAAGGCCUUCGGGUUGUAAAGCCCUUUUGUUGGGAAAGAAAAGCAGCAGGUUAAUACCCCGCUGUUCUGACGGUACCCAAAGAAUAAGCACCGGCUAACUUCGUG